GUUAAUGUAGCUUAAUAACAA
rnacentral:ncRNA from 2 species